GAAAACCUUUCACUGGAGAACAGUCUUCCCCCACACUAUCCCAUAGAAAUACUGUUCACUAUAUCUGGUUCAGGAGGACUGACUCUCCCAACUCCUUUCUCCAGGAGUGGACACAUGAUCCAGGACUGGCCAGAAUUCUACAUCAAGCAGCCCGUAGGCACGGAGGAGAAUACAAAUUAGAGGAUCAGCCAGCAAACUUGAUGGGUGAUGAGAACUGUUCAAGACAACCCUGAAGAUGUUGCUUAUUUGAUAAGGUUGCUGGUGCUGCUGCUACUGAAGAUAGAACAACAGUUAAGCUUUCUGUGUAUGUGUGUGUUUUCCGUCUGUUUUUCUUUGUAAUCAGUCUGGGUAUAAAAGUGAGCAGUGAAGAAUCGGGGGGAAAUAAAUCUACUUUUUAAACAUGUUAAAUUUGGAAAAUAUCUAGAGCUCAGAAGAAAAGUGUAAACUUAAGUUAGAGAUUUGAGAGUUAGUGAAGCUCUAAGAGGGGCAGAGUGUAAAGGUGAGGGCAACAAGUAUAUGUGCACACACAAUCACACACAUACACCGGUGGCAGGCAAAGAAAGAUUAAAUCCCUUCUUAGCAAAACUUCAAUUCUGAGAAGAUUUUUCCUAUCUGAAUUUGUUGAACAAUAUUAGAGAUUUUUUUUUUCUAACCACUUCAUAAAUAAUAAAACUGAGCAACAGAGAGGAUGGGUGGCUGACUUGUUAAGGAACUCCUAAUUAGUGCUAAAGAGUCUUAAAACCUAGGUUUCUGGGCUCCCAAUUCCAGGUUCCUUGGAAGUCAAGAGAAGACAAAAACAUACGAUCAUUUACUUUAUCCCUAACUUCACUUGAAUAAAACAUUCCAUAAGAUUAAGGUUAAUGCUUCCUUUGUCUGACACAUCUAUAAGCCAUAUGACUGGUUAGUUUCAGCACGUUACUAGGCCAGUUCGGCAAUGCUCGAAAGCAAUUCAAUUUUCAAAGAACAGUUCUCGAGAUACAUACAAUAAAGCUCAGAUUAACCAGGAAUCAUCGAACCAGAGUUGUUUUACUUUCUACUUAUAAAGAACAUAAGAAAGCACUCUUGAUCUAAGGCAUGACACUGAGCUGGCUCACACCUGCUCUGAUCUUUAUUACUUUCUGUAUGUAAAAUUCUCACAGUACAGUAACUGUGAGGAAAAUAAUAAUUUUGUGCACAAUAACUUUAGGUAGGAAGGAAACUAUAUUAAUAAUAAUUCAAUUUAAGUAGAAAUAUAAGUAAACUUAAUUACAGGCUUUUGAAAAUCCAAGCCUAUUUAUUUUAUCCAGUUUUAAAAUUCAAUUCCUAUUUAUUAUCUAUUUAAACCUACUCUGUGGAGCAUACUUAUACCCCUCGAAAUUAUCAGAAUUAAGAAAAAUUCAGUAAUUCCUGUGUCAAAAAUAUUCUGUAAAAGUAAACUGUUCAACAGAGAAAAAAAAAAAAACCAAAAAUACUGCAUGAAGCACAUAUGGUAAACAAAAAAACUGAAGUGAUUAUCAUAAUCAUGAAUUUUAAGAAACUGAAAAUGAUUAUCAAGGUAAACAAUAUAUGAAAUAUAACAAAUCCAAACAAGAUCAUGUACCUACAAAACCAAUUUUUCUAAAUACCAUCCUAACUUUUAAUAGCAGAAAAUAACAUUGUUUACUGCCUAAAACAUUGUACAGAAGAGAGAGCUCUAAAAUACUAAUCACAAGCCAAUAAAUCUUACCUUCUACAAC
rnacentral:antisense_RNA from 1 species